AGAGCGCGGUGAAAGCUGAGGAAGUCAUUUAUGUAACGGACUCUGUGAGAUCAGAGACAAGGAGUAAAAUGCCUGAGCUCAAGUGACAACAAGCAACCCCAGACUAGAGACAGGAUCCUUCUCCCCACUUCGAGCAGAUCCCAGCAUGAAUCCUGCAGUAUGGUGAUGGCAAAAGUCAGUGCAGGACCACUGGGACUCCUGGAGCUUCUCACAUCUCUGAGAGCACCAGCAGCAGAAAACAUCGCCCAUUUCAUCUGUUUCUUCAGUCCCCAGAUAGCAGAUGACUGGUAGGAAGAUGAGGCAAGUUUGCGGUCCAUUGUCAUGGAUAGUGGAGACAACACUGGGCCAGAAGUGGUAAGACCUGAAUCCAAGACUCAGCUCUGCCACUUGCUAAAUGGGACUUUGAAUAAACCAUUUCUCUGCACUUAAGUUCCUUACCAACAAAACGAGGGAAGUGGCCUACAUGCCUAGAUAUCAACAUUUCAUGUCACGUAGAGAUCUAGCAUCACAAGAAUCCAAGUCAUCCUCUGUUGCCUUUAAGAUUUCAGCAUGGUGAAGGAAAAGUAGCAGAAGACUGAAUGCAUACUCAGUUUUCAAGCUCUGGAUUUAAUCUUUCCAUAGCUGGAAUUGCCUCCUCCUCAAAAGCCUUAUUUGUUCAUUUAAUUGGGGCAACAUGAAAUAAUGAUGUAUCAUUGACAGAGAACAGGGGGCUUAGGUUCUCAUCUUGGUCCUAGUGAUUACUCUAUGCAUAACCUCAACUUCUUUAUCUGUACAUUGGGAACAAUAAUUCUUACUCCACUUGUUGUGUUGAAACUGAAUUAUAUAAUUCAUAAAUUAAAACACCAAAUUCUGAUAAAUGCUAAAUGCCAUUUUCUUAUCUUGUUCUUUCCUAUAAUGC
rnacentral:lncRNA from 1 species